CGUCCUUUUACACGAGGAGCUUGCUCCUCUGACGUUAGCGGCGGACGGGUGAGUAACACGUGGAUAACCUACCUAUAAGACUGGGAUAACUUCGGGAAACCGGAGCUAAUACCGGAUAAUAUAUUGAACCGCAUGGUUCAAUAGUGAAAGACGGUUUUGCUGUCACUUAUAGAUGGAUCCGCGCCGCAUUAGCUAGUUGGUAAGGUAACGGCUUACCAAGGCAACGAUGCGUAGCCGACCUGAGAGGGUGAUCGGCCACACUGGAACUGAGACACGGUCCAGACUCCUACGGGAGGCAGCAGUAGGGAAUCUUCCGCAAUGGGCGAAAGCCUGACGGAGCAACGCCGCGUGAGUGAUGAAGGUCUUCGGAUCGUAAAACUCUGUUAUUAGGGAAGAACAAAUGUGUAAGCAACUAUGCACGUCUUGAC
rnacentral:rRNA from 1 species